rnacentral:rRNA from 1 species
AAACCAGCACCUCAAGUGGUCAGGAUGAUUAUUGGGCCUAAAGCAUCCGUAGCCUGGUGCAUAAGUUUUCGGUUAAAUCCAUAUGCUCAACAUAUGGGCUGCCGGAAAUACUGUGCACCUAGGGAGUGGGAGAGGUAGACGGUACUCGGUAGGAAGGGGUAAAAUCCUUUGAUCUAUUGAUCACCACCUGUGGCGAAGGCGGUCUACCAGAACACGUUCGACGGUGAGGGAUGAAAGCUGGGGGAGCAAACCGGAUUAGAAACCCGGGUAGUCC